CUUCAUCAACCAUUACUGCAACUAACUAAAUUGAAAUAUAGCAAACUAAAUAACUACUUGGCCCCAAUGAAGCUGUCGAGUUGACUGGCUUUAAAUUCCAUGCUAUCACGUUUCCGAUGAAGUUCCAGGAUCUUUCCAUGUUCUUUCUUCGUAGAUGCAAAACCACAUACAUACAUAUAUGUGUGAAUAUAAGCUUUUUUACAAAGUGUUAUAAUAGCUAAUACUAAAAAGCGGGAGAGUGAAAAUCUGAAUAUAUGAUGAAAUAACUAGUUUCAAGUUUAUCUUUUUGAACUGUUACCUUUCAAGCGGGAGAGUGAAAAAAAAGGCGGUACCUUUUGAGGAAAGCCUGCUGCUAAAUACUAAAAUGUUAAAAAAAAUAAUUAUCUUUUUGAAAAGUCUUAGACUCUCAUUUAGUUUCCUUUGAAGCCUUCCAUUCGGUCAUCUGUCAAAGUCCCUUUCUCCUCCAAUCGACCAUCAUUCUUUCUCUCUUGGUAUCAAUCUCUCUACUUGGGGAAUGCCUCAAUUUAAGACCCAACUAAAUGGAACUAAAUAAUGGAGCAAUAUAUAGUAGGCAUAAUUCAACAUGUUUUUUUGGACUCUUCAAGGUUCUUGAAUGCAAGGAUGCAUGCAAUAUUGAUUCCACAUAGUUGGGGAGAAUCCUUUUCUUGUUGUUUUAAGCUCACUUCAAGUCUUCUACAUCCAUCGGCUUUUAAGCAAGCUAAUCGCCUACAAUCUGGUUCAAGAACUGCAUCACAAUAUCAUUAAGUCAGUAUGUGCCAAUUUAGUAAUACCACAAUAGGCUUGUAGAUAUUUUUUUGGACAAUUAUUUGCAU